UACGUAGGGGCAAGCGUUGUCCGGAAUCAUUGGGUCGUAAAGGCGCGUGUAGGCGGCCCGGUAAGUCCGCUGAUGAAAGUCCAGGGGCUCAACCCCUGGGAUGCCGGUGGAUACUGUCGGGCUCCGAGUCCGGAAGAGGCGAAGUGGAAUUCCUGGUGGUAAGCGGUGGAAUGCGCAGAGUAUCAAGGAGGAACACCAAUAGCGAAGGCAGCUCGCUGGGACGGUACUGACGCUGAGGUGCGAAGCGUGGGAGCAACAGGAUUAGAUACCUAG
rnacentral:rRNA from 1 species